rnacentral:lncRNA from 1 species
CAGCAGCAAAAACUUCAAAUAUGCAAUAUGCACUUCACAAGCGUAACUAAAAAUCAAAUUAUCUUCAGCACAUUGCAAGAUACUCAACUUACCUCCAACAGAAUUGCCUCCAGUACUGUCAAUAUACCAGCUUCAAAGGCUCUAUUCACCAUAAAUUGCAACAGCUCAAAAUUAAAAUGAAAAGGAAGGGAGACAAAGUGUCUCCUAGUCUCAAACCCCUCUUACAAUUACUAACUCGACCUUUGCAACCCUCAACCAAAACAACAGUCUUAGAAGAUUUAAAAGCAUUCACCUUUGACUUUAAUUCAUUCACCUUUGACUACAAUCCCUAGCAUUGAGUCCAAACAAAAGCUCCUAACAGGAACUGUCACAAACCUUACCAAAAUAAAUUCUAAAAAGAACACCUUCAC